rnacentral:rRNA from 1 species
ACUCCUACGGGAGGCAGCAGUGGGGAAUAUUGCACAAUGGGCGGCAAAGCCCUGAUGCAGCCAUGCCGCGUGUGUGAAGAAGGCCUUCGGGUUGUAAAGCACUUUCAGUCGUGAGGAAGUAGUGUAGUUAAUAGCUGCAUUAUUUGACGUUAGCGAACAGAAGAAGCACCGGCUAACUCCGUGCCAGCAGCCGCGGUAAUACGGAGGGUGCGAGCGUUAAUCGGAAUUACUGGGCGUAAAGCGCAUGCAGGU